rnacentral:rRNA from 1 species
CCUACGGGUGGCAGCAGUAGGGAAUUUUCGGCAAUGGGGGGAACCCUGACCGAGCAACGCCGCGUGAACGAAGAAGUUAUUCGUAAUGUAAAGUUCUUUUAACAGGGAAGAAAGAGAAAUUUUACGGUACCUGAAGAAUAAGCUCCGGCUAACUACGGGCCAGCAGCCGCGGUAAUACGGAGGGAGCGAGCGUUAUCCGGAAUUAUUGGGGGUAAAGGGUGGGUAGAGGGCAUAGUAAGUCUUUGGUAAAAAUGCUGGGCUAAACCCAGUAGGGCAAAAGAUACUGCAAAGCUAGAGUAUGACAGAGGCAAGUGGAAUUACAAGUGUAGCGGUAAAAUGCGUAAAUAUUUGGAAGAACACCAGUGGCGAAGGCGGCUUGCUGGGUCGAUACUGACAUUGAGGCACGAAAGCGUGGGGAGCAAACAGGAUUAGAUACCCGGGUAGUC